UACGGAGGGUGCGAGCGUUGUCCGGAAUCACUGGGCGUAAAGGGCGCGUAGGUGGCGCGGCAAGUCAACGAUGAAAGCUCGACGCUCAACGUCGAGUCGGCCGUCGAUACUGCCGCGCUGGAGCACUGUAGAGGCUCAUGGAAUUCCGGGUGUAGCGGUGGAAUGCGUAGAGAUCCGGAAGAACACCGGUGGCGAAGGCGGUGAGCUGGGCAGUUGCUGACACUGAGGCGCGACAGCGUGGGGAGCAAACAGG
rnacentral:rRNA from 1 species